rnacentral:rRNA from 1 species
UCCGAAAGGUGCAAGCGUUAAUCGGAAUUACUGGGCGUAAAGGGUGCGUAGGCGGUUCGUUAAGUCUGUCGUGAAAUCCCCGGGCUCAACCUGGGAAUGGCGAUGGAUACUGGCGAGCUAGAGUGUGUCAGAGGAUGGUGGAAUUCCCGGUGUAGCGGUGAAAUGCGUAGAGAUCGGGAGGAACAUCAGUGGCGAAGGCGGCCAUCUGGGACAACACUGACGCUGAAGCACGAAAGCGUGGGGAGCAAACAGG